rnacentral:rRNA from 1 species
GAUAACCGUGGUAAUUCUAGAGCUAAUACAUGCUGAAAACCCCGACUUCGGAAGGGAUGUAUUUAUUAGAUUAAAAACCAAUGCCCUCCGGGGCUCCCUGGUGAUUCAUGAUAACUUCUCGAAUCGCACGGCCUUGCGCCGGCGAUGGUUCAUUCAAAUUUCUGCCCUAUCAACUUUCGACGGCUGGGUCUUGGCCAGCCAUGGUGACAACGGGUAACGGAGGGUUAGGGCUCGACCCCGGAGAAGGAGCCUGAGAAACGGCUACUACAUCUAAGGAAGGCAGCAGGCGCGCAAAUUACCCAAUCCCGACGCGGGGAGGUAGUGACAAUAAAUACUGAUACAGGGCUCUUUAGGGUCGUGUAAUUGGAAUGAGUACAGUUUAAUUCCCUUAACGAGGAACAAUUGGAGGGCAAGUCUGGUGCCAGCAGCCGCGGUAAUUCCAGCUCCAAUAGCGUAUAUUAAAGUUGUUGCAGUUAAAAAGCUCGUAGUUGAACCUUGGGCCUGGCUGGCCGGUCCGCCUCACCGCGUGCACUGGUCCGGCCGGGCCUUUCCCUCUGGGGAGCCGCAUGCCCUUCACUGGGCGUGCCGGGGAACCAGGACGUUUACUUUGAAAAAAUUAGAGUGUUCAAAGCAGGCUUAUGCUCGGAUACAUUAGCAUGGAAUAAUGGAAUAGGACGUGCGGUUCUAUUUUGUUGGUUUCUAGGACCGCCGUAAUGAUUAAUAGGGACAGUCGGGGGCAUCAGUAUUCAAUUGUCAGAGGUGAAAUUCUUGGAUUUAUUGAAGACUAACUACUGCGAAAGCAUUUGCCAAGGAUGUUUUCAUUAAUCAGGAACGAAAGUUAGGGGAUCGAAGACGAUCAGAUACCGUCGUAGUCUUAACCAUAAACUAUGCCGACUAGGGAUCGGA